ACGGGUGAGUUACGCGUAUGCAACCUGCCCAUAGCUGGAGAAUAGCCCGAAGAAAUUCGGAUUAAUACUCCAUAAUAUUUCAAAUUCGCAUGUUUUUGAAAUUAAAAUUCCGAUGGCUAUGGAUGGGCAUGCGUGCCAUUAGCUUGUUGGUGAGGUAACGGCUCACCAAGGCUACGAUGGCUAGGGGUUCUGAGAGGAUGAUCCCCCACACUGGUACUGAGACACGGACCAGACUCCUACGGGAGGCAGCAGUGAGGAAUAUUGGUCAAUGGGCGCAAGCCUGAACCAGCCAUGCCGCGUGCAGGAUGACUGCCCUAUGGGUUGUAAACUGCUUUUGUACAGGAAGAACCUUCUGCUCGUGAGCGGAAUUGACGGUACUGUACGAAUAAGCAUCGGCUAACUCCGUGCCAGCAGCCGCGGUAAUACGGAGGAUGCAAGCGUUAUCCGGAUUCACUGGGUUUAAAGGGUGCGUAGGCGGGAUAGUAAGUCGAUGGUGAAAGCCUGCAGCUUAACUGUAGAAUUGCCAUUGAUACUGCUAUUCUUGAGUGCAGUUGAAGUAAGCGGAAUGUGUAAUGUAGCGGUGAAAUGCAUAGAUAUUACACAGAACACCAAUUGUGAAGGCAGCUUACUAAGCUGAAACUGACGCUGAGGCACGAAAGCGUGGGGAGCGAACAGGAUUAGAUACCCUGGUAGACCACGCUGUAACCUAU
rnacentral:rRNA from 1 species